CCGAGUUUACAACUCCCAAACCCCUGUGAACAUACCUACUAUGUUGCCUCGGCGGAUCAGCCCGCGCCCGUAAAACGGGACGGCCCGCCAGAGGAUCCCCUAAACUCUGUUUCUAUAUGUAACUUCUGAGUAAAACCAUAAUAAAUCA
rnacentral:misc_RNA from 1 species